rnacentral:lncRNA from 1 species
UGAUUUUGAGGGAGUGGUAGUCUUCCCAAGUAGCUUGAUCUGGUGUAAUCUUGUCCAAUUGAACCAAUACUUGUGCAACAGCCUUGUUACCAUUUUGGAUCAUUCUUCUUUCAAGAAUCUGUUGAGGUUGAGGGCAGUAUGGGCUGGAGAUGUCAAUAAUGGGAGGCUGUGAGAUGGUAUCAGGAAGCUUAUAGCAAGGUUUAAGUUGAGAGACAUGAAACAUGUGGUGAAGUAAGAGCUGGGAUGGCAGGGAUAACUUAUAUGCCACAGUACCAAUCUUUUGUAAGACUUGGUAAGGACCAUAAUAUUUUGCUGAGUUUAGAGAAAUGACUGCCUGAGAGUGUCACUUUCCUAUAAGGAUGUAUCUUGAGGUAAACCCAGUCCCAUUCCUUGAAAUGUUUAUCACUUCUAUGCAUAUUAG